UACGUAGGGUGCAAGCGUUGUCCGGAAUUAUUGGGCGUAAAGAGCUCGUAGGCGGUCCGUCACGUCGGCUGUGAAAACUCGGGGCUCAACCCCGAGCCUGCAUUCGAUACGGGCAGACUAGAGUUCGGUAGGGGAGUCUGGAAUUCCUGGUGUAGCGGUGAAAUGCGCAGAUAUCAGGAGGAACACCGGUGGCGAAGGCGGGACUCUGGGCCGAUACUGACGCUGAGGAGCGAAAGCGUGGGGAGCAAACAGG
rnacentral:rRNA from 1 species